UAAAAAGGGUUUUUUCAGAAGAGUCAAAUUUCAUAGAAACAGAUUUCUUGCCCAAAUAAAUAGAGUAAAUUCAUUGAAUUUGAGAUUUGGGUUUAGAAAUAGGAAAAGGAGGCAAGCGCAGGAGAGCUUCCUCAGUCUCAAUUGGGUCUGAUCUGAGUAUUGGGUCUUGAAGAAGUGGCUUUGUGUCAUCUUUUGCGGGUCUGAAAGGGGGUUUUGUUAUCUUCUUCACUUCGCCUUUCCCAUUCUUGUUAGAUUCCUCGCCUCCCUCCAUAGCCUUUUUACUCUUACGCCCCACUAUCGUUUCUAAAUCACAAACAAAGAGCUUGUUCAGUUGUUUUUACCU
rnacentral:misc_RNA from 1 species